GGUAGUGUUGCCAUUUUACUUCCAAUUUUACACAAAAACCACAACUUCAUCCACUUUUUAUCUUAACACGCGUCCCUUCAGGCUUCCAUCUUCCUCCACCUUGGUUGCUUCCUGUUCUGCUCGCUGAAGUUUACCGCUUUGCUUCUGCUUGAUGUCGCUUUUUCAAUUCAGGUAAAUUGUUGAAGAUGCAACAAAAUCUGGACCAAGGAUAGUUUCAUCAUUUGGUGUCCUUUUGGGUUUUCGCGUGAUUUAAACACAGUAGCAACUCACGCUCUUCCCACUGACAAUUACCAAGGAGAAAAAAUGGGCACUCCUUCUUCCCUCUUUGCUUCCUUCUUUGGUUUGCUGUUUCUUUAUCAUUCUUAAUUCAAACUUUUCUAUUUCUUUUUAUACAUCAAACAUCUAUUGUCCACAUAUAGCUGGUCAUAAGAGUUGUUGUCGAGGUCCUAUUUUGUUUUCACCUUCAUGUAUUGAUUUCAUUUGCUUCAAUUUGACUUGCUAGAGUAUAUAUAUAGCAUGUUGUUGCUUUACCGUUGCGUGGUUGGUCCUACAAUGAGUAGCUUUAGAUCUUCCUAAAGACUAGGCUGUUUUGGUCAUUUCAAUAAGCCUUCUGAGGCACUAGCUGUCCUGUAUCUAACUCUUAACAUGGUUGUGCUUUGUUUUGUUUCUA